rnacentral:rRNA from 1 species
UACGUAGGGAGCAAGCGUUGUCCGGAUUUAUUGGGCGUAAAGAGCUCGUAGGCGGUUCGGUAAGUCGGGUGUGAAAACUCUGGGCUCAACCCGGAGAGGCCACUCGAUACUGCUGUGACUUGAGUCUGGUAGGGGAGCACGGAAUUCCUGGUGUAGCGGUGAAAUGCACAGAUAUCAGGAGGAACACCGGUGGCGAAGGCGGUGCUCUGGGCCAGUACUGACGCUGAGGAGCGAAAGCGUGGGGAGCGAACAGG